GUAGGUGAACCUGCGGAAGGAUCAUCAUUGAAUGAAUGUAGAGUUGGUUGUCGCUGGCCUUUGUCGGCAUGUGCACGCCUUCUCUUUCAUCCACACACACCUGUGCACCUGUGAGACGGAGAGCUUGCCCUUUAGCGUGGGUGUUUUCUCUGUCUGCCAAUACACAAACUCAUAUCAUAAUUUGAAUGUAAUUGAUGUAACGCAUCUAUAAACUAAGUUUCAACAACGGAUCUCUUGGCUCUC
rnacentral:misc_RNA from 1 species